CCAAGGGCGCGGCCACGGACUGCUCACAGGGGCUCCCGGGCCUCUGCUCCUCCUCACUGGCAGAUUCUUCCUAUGACUGAUGAUUUGUUAUGAUGGCCUUGUUAUGCCAACGACAUCGACAGAGACCCAUUCUGUUCGACGCUCACAGGCUGUUUUUCAAGGGUUCUUCAUCUUCCAAACGCCACCGAAUCCUCCUGCUUCUGCCCGGGCCAGUGAGGGGCCCAGCCCGCAGAGAGGGAGCGGCUCCGGGAGACCCUCAGCCUGCCGCCUGGUGGCCCAGGAGCCCACCCCCACCUGCACGCCUCCCGAGGAGCCCUGUCUCGCCCUCGAACCUGUCAGGGCUGAGGCGGGCUGCAAGUCACAGCUGCAGGCUCUGUUGCUUGGCCCUGACUCAGUUUCCACCCAGACGUCCUCUCCCUACCCCUCGGGCCUUCCUACACUUUCAUGGGCCUCCCAGUCAGCAGCCUAAAGGGAUGCCCCUGCCCUUCCCGCCCCAGGGCAGAGGAGCCCAGCGCUGGCAGCUCUGAAUAAGAGCACGGGGGCUGCGUGGGCGCGGUGGGGGUGUGGGGACUGGCCCCUGCCCAGAGCCCCCUGGGGGCUUCGCACCUUCCUCCCUGGGACAGGUGACCCUGCCUCCCUGGGCCUCCAGGCAGCCCUGUCGCUCAGGAUGAGAGGACCCCGUUUCUCUCGGAGGACAGGACAGACGUGAAGGGUUUUGCAGAGCUGCUUCAAAGUGAUGGUGAUGGUGAUAAUGCUAUAAUGAUAAUUACCAUUAUUAUAGCAUGAUCACGACUGGCAUUGACCCAAAAUGUCUACGCAAAUAAUCCAUAACCAGCCUAUCAGUGAAAACUGGGGUGAGUUUAUCAGGAGCCAGAGUGAGGGUGAGGCGUUCGGAGAGCAUGGCUGUCAGAACGGUCUCGUCUCCUUUCGGAACAAGCAGCACACGUCAAACACACCAGGAUACGUUGCCAUCAGAACGUCACAGAGGCCUUCAGAGGCGCAGCAGCAGGUCACCAGGACCCUGCUGAGAGGACCAGGCCUCCCCCAGAGGGUGCGGGAGGGGGCCGG
rnacentral:lncRNA from 1 species